rnacentral:rRNA from 1 species
CUCCUGGAAACGGGUGGUAAUGCCGGAUGUUCCACAUGAGCGCAUGCGAGUGUGGGAAAGGCUUUUUGCGGCAUGGGAUGGGGUCGCGUCCUAUCAGCUUGUUGGUGGGGUAACGGCCUACCAAGGCGUUGACGGGUAGCCGGCCUGAGAGGGCGACCGGCCACAUUGGGACUGAGAUACGGCCCAGACUCCUACGGGAGGCAGCAGUGGUGAAUAUUGCACAAUGGGCGCAAGCCUGAUGCAGCGACGCCGCGUGCGGGAUGGAGGCCUUCGGGUUGUAAACCGCUUUUGUUCAAGGGCAAGGCACGGUUUCGGCCGUGUUGAGUGGAUUGUUCGAAUAAGCACCGGCUAACUACGUGCCAGCAGCCGCGGUAAUACGUAGGGUGCAAGCGUUAUCCGGAUUUAUUGGGCGUAAAGGGCUCGUAGGCGGUUCGUCGCGUCCGGUGUGAAAGUCCAUCGCUUAACGGUGGAUCCGCGCCGGGUACGGGCGGGCUUGAGUGCGGUAGGGGAGACUGGAAUUCCCGGUGUAACGGUGGAAUGUGUAGAUAUCGGGAAGAACACC